rnacentral:rRNA from 1 species
GGGAAACUCACCAGGUCCAGACAUAAUAAGGAUUGACAGAUUGAUAGCUCUUUCUUGAUUUUAUGGGUGGUGGUGCAUGGCCGUUCUUAGUUCGUGGAGUGAUUUGUCUGCUUAAUUGCGUUAACGAACGAGACCUUAACCUGCUAAAUAGAAGUGUCUAUCUCCGGAUAAGCACCUUUCUUCUUAGAGGGACUUUAUGCGUUUCAGCGUAGGGAAGUUUGAGGCUAAAA